rnacentral:lncRNA from 1 species
CGGAACAUUACGGAAUGUUCAAUCGUUGAUAAUAAUACAUCUCACAGUUAAAACUUCUUAGGGCUAGGGGGCAGUAUUCAGAAGUUCGGAUGACUGAUAUGCCCAAAGUAAACUGCCUGUUACUCAGGCCCAGAAGCUAGGAUACGCAUAUAAUUGAUAGCAUUGGAUAGACAACACUCUGAAGUUUCUAAAACUGUUAAACCAAUGUCUGUGAGUAUAACGGAACUGACAUGGCAGCGAGUGGAACGGGUGGAUUUCUGCAUCAAACGCACCAACUAAACUGACUUUUUGGGGAUAUAGAGAAGGACUUUAUCGAACAAAACGACCAUUUGUUGUGUAGCUGGGACCCUUGGGAUUGCAGACAGAGGAAGAUCUUCAAAGUGUCCACACUGACCCUAACAGUGACAUGUGCACAGCUCUGAACAUAAGGACCAGGUCACCAGAGUACGACACUCUGACAAGUGUGAGGGACUCCCCCAGUGAUACAGACCCUCAGGGAGACGCUCAACCCUCCAAUUAUGAGAACUGAAGAGAACCUGGACUGAACAAAACCACCACAGAGCCUGGACUGAAGAUAACUAAAACAGAACCUGGACUGAAGAGAACCACCACAGAACCUGGACUGAAGAGAACCAAAACAGAACCUGGACUGAAGAGAACCACCACAGAACCUGGACUGAAGAGAACCAAAACAGAACCUGGACUGAAGAGAACC